rnacentral:lncRNA from 1 species
CGCAGAUUGGUCCGGGAGGCUCGCUUCCCAUCCUCCUCCGCGGCGCGGACUCGCGGUGGGGAGCGUUUCCGGAAGGGGCGAGGCGGGGCGCCGCGCCGCAGGCCGGUGUGACUGCGGGUCUGAGUUGUGCCUGUGGCUGCGGCUGCGCGCUGCGCCUGGGUACAGUCUAAGUGUUGGAGGAUAGUCAGGGUGAGUUCAGGGCACCGCCGCAGUUUUAAGAUGAAGUUUGGGUCCACCACGGCUCAUACAGUUAAUGCUCGCAGGUUGCAUGGCGGCCCCCUCGGAGCACACCUGCCUGAGGAGCUGAGGAGUAAACGGAGGGAGGGGGUUUGGGGACGCACCAGAUGCGGCCCGACGGGGCCGGCAGAGCUUCCCUCCCGGAGAUGGCAGCGAAAGGUUGAGGCCUGGAGGUCGGGGGGCGGUAUCUGCGUGGGGAAGGGUCAUCCAGCGCCGGCCGAGGCUGAGCUGAUCCCCCGCUCUCCGGCCUGGCUGGUGCACGUUGUUGGGGGAUUGAGGGAAGAGUGAAGCUGGAGAGGUUCCCCUCCGGGCUGGAACUUGAGGGACUCGGGACCAGGAACAGAAUUUGUCACCCCCAAAUAUGCCUCUUUGGCAUAAGGGCUAUUUUGAGCUGACAAUUAUUAAGAAACAGAAAACACAGGAAAAGCUCUGAAAACCUGGUAGAAGUUACCCUUUUCUAAGGGAAAUUUGCCUUUAUAAGAGAAAUCUCCGUUUGUAAGGAUGUCUCCCUGUCUCUGCCAGGUGGAGGAUGGCGACUCUACAUCUCUUGAAACUCCUAUCAGUGGAGAAGGCCAAGACAAAUCUGCAUAACAGCUUUACCAUUGUUUACUGUAGUGUUCCCAGUAACCUCCCAUAACUGAUCCCAUUUUAACAACAGAUUUAUUUUUCUUCUGCUGAGGAAGAUUGUCCAUGAGCUAACAUCUGCGCCAGUCUUCCUCUGUUUUGUACGUGGGAUGCAGCCACAGCGUGACUUGAGAGCAGUGCUAGGUCAUACCCAGGAUCCCAAUGCGUGAACCCCCGGGAGCUGAAGCAGAGCGCCUGACCUUAACCACUAUGGGACUGGGUGGCCCCGAUGAACAACAAAAUGUUAAAGCUAUUUUUCAGGGGCAGCGAGCAUGCGCAGAAGAGAAAAUUUUGACCUGCCAAUCAAACUCAUCCUGCCCCUCCUUGCAUACCAGCAGGCCCUCCCUAAUCCCUUAAACUCUACCCCAGCCUGGGAGAGAGAGAGACAUUUGAGAGCUUGGCCUCCUGUCUCCUUGCUGGUCCACCAUGUUUAAAGCCUUUUGUUUCUCAAAAGCAGGUGUGCCACUGUGUCAGCUUCUGUGCCCAUCAGGUGGCGAAGCCUUGCUUAGUAACAGUUUUAAGGGUUGGAACUUCAACCUGGGGAUCAUUGGGAACAUUUGAAGAUUUUGUUUUUAAAGGAGGUUCUAGUAGCAGUGUAAAAAUUGACCUGGAGAGGCAAGACUGGUGGCCAGGAGGCCCAUUAGGAGGCUGCUAUAAUCUAGGUUUCUGGCCUGAGUAGCUGAGUAGAAUGUGGUCCCAAGCACUGAGAUAAUGAACACAGGAGGAGUAAGUUUGGAGGGAAGAUAGUACAUAUAGUUUUUUAAAGAUAUAAUACACAUAUAAAAUUCACCCUUUUAAAGUGUACAAUUCGAUGGUUUUUAGUACAGCCACAAGGUUUUGCAACCAUCAUCACUAAUUCCAGAGCAUUUUAUAUCCCCCGAUAGAAAUCCGUGUACCCAUUAGCAGUCAUUCCCCAAUCCCCCUUACUCUAUCCCCUGGCAAUAGCUAAUCUUUCUGUUUCUAUGGAUUUGUCUAUUCUGUACAUUGUAUGUAAACAGUAUCAUACAAUAUGUGGCCUUUUCUGUCUGGCUUUUAUUUAGCGUAAUGUUUUUAAAGUUCAUCCAUGUUGUAGCGUGAAUCAAUUCUUCAUUUCUUUACAUAAUAGCUGAAUAAUAUUCCUUUGUAUGGCUAUACCACGUUUUGUUUAUCCCCUUCUCAGGUGAUGGACAUUGGAGCUGUUUCUGCCUUUUGGCUGUUAUAAAUAAUGGUGCUGUGAACAUUCAUGUACAAGUUUUGUGUUUUUCGUUCUCUUGGAUUAUAUACCUAGGAGUGUCAUUCCUGGGUCAUACUACACUUAGUUCUGAGUGCUGGGAUUCAAACGCUAAUAGAACUUCCAAGAGCUUUUUCCGCUAUGGAGUUAGAAGGUGGCACUGGCUCUCUGGUUUUGGAAACCUAAGUUAGUUUGUAAUAUGGUUGCCAAUUGGAUUAGUUAAGUAGACAGCACAGUGGUAGGCUGCACAGAUGCAGGGGUGGG